GAACAAGAGUUUCCCUUCCCCCUACUUUGCCUCCAACUACGGGUCAGCAUACCCGACCUACCCAAUCCUGUCAGCAUUGUGGUUGCUCGCAUGGUGACCUACCCUGUCGACGUAUCAGUUACUCCUGUUAUCAGUGCAGAAGCACCCAACAUCUUGUUACUUGGAAUGUUAUCAGUUGCGUGUAAUAAAAAAUAAUAUGAAUCGAUAUUGUUACUUGGAAAAAAUAAAAGGAACAAAAAAAAGAAAAAGUGGAAUGAAGCAUGAAUGGUUUAAAGUAUGUAUCUGUAUUAACAUGCAUAAUGCAUCAAGUAUCUCGUUAAACUUUUUAUCUUUGAGGGAUUUUGUUCCCCUAACCCAU
rnacentral:lncRNA from 1 species